GUUAGGGGACGGGGGUAUUUAUUGUAUUAUCUGAAAAAAUAGAAAGAUCCUGUUCUACUUGAAGUACAUGUUUUCCAAACAAGAGAAUUUUCCGGAACUAUGCAAGAGACAGAGGAGAUGAGACCUCAAUGGUUUAAAGAAGAUCAGAUUCCUUAUGAUAAAAUGUGGGCUGAUGAUCAAUACUGGUAUCAGCACAUGUUU